rnacentral:rRNA from 1 species
AUUGAACGCUGGCGGCAGGCCUAACACAUGCAAGUCGAGCGAGCGGCGGACGGGUGAGUAAUGUAUGGGGAACUGCACGAUGGAGGGGGAUAACUACUGGAAACGGUAGCUAAUACCGCAUACUAUCGGAUGAACCCAGAUGGGAUUAGCUAGUAGGUGGGGUAACGGCUCACCUAGGCGACGAUCUCUAGCUGGUCUGAGAGGAUGAACAGCCACACUGGAACUGAGACACGGCCCAGACUCCUACGGGAGGCAGCAGUGGGGAAUAUUGCACAAUGGGCGAAAGCCUGAUGCAGCCAUGCCGCGUGUAUGAAGAAGGCCUUAGGGUUGUAAAGUACUUUCAGCGGGGAGGCGUUACCCGCAGAAGAAGCACCGGCUAACUCCGUGCCAGCCGCCGCGGUAAUAC